UACGUAGGGCGCAAGCGUUGUCCGGAAUUAUUGGGCGUAAAGAGCUCGUAGGCGGUUUGUCGCGUCUGCUGUGAAAACUCGGGGCUUAACUCCGGGCCUGCAGUGGGUACGGGCAGACUAGAGUGCGGUAGGGGAGACUGGAAUUCCUGGUGUAGCGGUGAAAUGCGCAGAUAUCAGGAGGAACACCGGUGGCGAAGGCGGGUCUCUGGGCCGUAACUGACGCUGAGGAGAGAAAGCGUGGGGAGCGAACAGG
rnacentral:rRNA from 1 species